rnacentral:rRNA from 1 species
AGAGUUAUUAUGGCGUCAGGAUGAACGCUGGCGGCGUGCCUAACACAUGCAAGUCGAACGGAGCUAUUCUGCGGAGAUUCGGUCAAAGCGGGUUAAGCUAGUGGCGGACGGGUGAGUAACGCGUGGAGAACCUGCCCUGUACCGGGGGAUAACAAGCCGGAAACGGCUGCUAAUACCGCAUAAGCGCACGAAGGCGCAUGCCUUAGUGUGAAAAAACUCCGGUGGUACAGGAUGGCUCCGCGCUGGAUUAGCCAGUUGGCGGGUAACGGCCCACCAAAGCGACGAUCCAUAGCCGGCCUGAGAGGGUGGACGGCCACAUUGGGACUGAGACACGGCCCAGACUCCUACGGGAGGCAGCAGUGGGGAAUAUUGCACAAUGGGGGAAACCCUGAUGCAAGCGACGCCGCGUGAAGGAAGAAGUAUCUCGGUAUGUAAACUUCUAUCAGCAGGGAAGAUGAUGACGGUACCUGACUAAGAAGCCCCGGCUAACUACGUGCCAGCCGCAGC